GGAGAGGUGGCCGAGUGGCUGAAGGCGCACGCCUGGAAAGCGUGUGUACCUGAAAGGGUAUCGUGGGUUCGAAUCCCACCCUCUCCG
rnacentral:tRNA from 1 species